CAGGAGGUUGCCCACCGCCGCCCGCGACACCUCCGAUCCCUGGAACUCCCCCCAAACCAACAUCCGGAGGGAACAUUGACUGUAACUUCGAUUCUCCAUCCAUCUGUGGCUA